CAGCAGUGGGGAAUAUUGGACAAUGGGCGCAAGCCUGAUCCAGCCAUACCGCGUGGGUGAAGAAGGCCUUCGGGUUGUAAAGCCCUUUUGUUGGGAAAGAAAUCCAGCUGGCUAAUACCCGGUUGGGAUGACGGUACCCAAAGAAUAAGCACCGGCUAACUUCGUGCCAGCAGCCGCGGUAAUACGAAGGGUGCAAGCGUUACUCGGAAUUACUGGGCGUAAAGCGUGCGUAGGUGGUCGUUUAAGUCCGUUGUGAAAGCCCUGGGCUCAACCUGGGAACUGCAGUGGAUACUGGGCGACUAGAAUGUGGUAGAGGGUAGCGGAAUUCCUGGUGUAGCAGUGAAAUGCGUAGAGAUCAGGAGGAACAUCCAUGGCGAAGGCAGCUACCUGGACCAACAUUGACACUGAGGCACGAAAGCGUGGGGAGCAAACAGGAUUAGAUACCCUGGUAGUCCACGCCCUAAACGAUGCGAACUGGAUGUUGGGUGCAAUUUGGCACGCAGUAUCGAAGCUAACGCGUUAAGUUCGCCGCCUGGGGAGUACGGUCGCAAGACUGAAACUCAAAGGAUU
rnacentral:rRNA from 1 species